CAAGGGCCCCUAUAAAGCGAAGGGGAAGCGCGAAAAAUCGGCCCACCGAGGACGCGUCCAAAUGGACUGCGCUGCAGGCGGGGGUGAAGGGCUAAUGCGUCGGUACCUUUAGUAUGGGUAGGGGGCGCGGGGAGCAAUGUGGUGGGGGGCACGGGCGCGCCCAAGACGGUGGGCACCCGACCCCGCCUCCUAGACCUGCCUCCCAAUUUUCAGUAUAGUGGUGUAGCCCUGGGCAGCGUGAAAACUAUGCGACGACGACGACGACGCUUACCCAUGCUAUGCGCCUCCUUACCUCAGCUUCCCAGAUAGCGCACGCGGACGGCGGCCCACCCCUCCCACCCAAUGGCGCGUGCCCGCGAAGGUGGAUGGCGGCGAGCUAAUUAGUCGCGAUACCCCACACGGGGGUUCGGAUCUCCUCACGAGCAAUAUAAUGCAUGUGCACGGCCAGCAUGGCAAGAAGAAGCAGGCGGCAGUGUGCAGGCGAGGCGACAGCCGAGGAGAAGAGCCAUGGCGGUGGUGGUGGAUGGCGGUGGUGCACGCGGAGUCCUCCUAGGUGGGAGAGGCGGUGGCCUGGCUCGGGCGCCAUGCGGGGCUCUAGAAUCAAGGGAAAAAGUACUUUAUUGAACACGAACUUUUUGGAGAAUUGUUUCAAAACUCACAAGUGUCCCACCCCACUCCCUGGCCCCACGCUAUGACAUGGUAGACAGCACCGGCUAAGUGAAAGGGCAGGGACAUUAAUUUUGGAACUACCUUCCUCGGGUGCUGGGGUCUGCCACCGGGGUCUGCUUGGAUGCCAUUAAUUCAUUCAUUCAAUAACUGGCCCACAACCACCUUGUGCCCAGAAUGGAUGAAAAAGAUUUAACUGCUCUCCUGUUAUGCUCCAGUGAAACUUGAGUCCACAGGCAUCAGCCAGCCCUGUAAGUUGUGAUAUGAAGACAGGGAACUACCUUUUCCCUCUUCAACAAAAACUUCUUGGUUGAAUUUGAUUCAUCUGUCAUUUGUGAAAUUAAAGACUUAGAAGAGAGAGGACCUGGCCAGAAAUUUCUGUUCCGCUCCAGUUGCACAAAAGCCUCUUCCUUCCGGCUUCCAGUGUGCAGAAGCACCGAUACAUUGUAUUUAAAAGAAAGCAAUAGAGGAGGAAGCCGAUCAGGAUGGAGCACUAAGGCCAGCCUUAGUGGGGAAGGGGUAAGUUCUUAGCGGAGAAGCCUGUGGCCCCUGCCUGGGAAGUCCAUGUGGCCUUCGUCAGCUGCUGUGGAGCAAACAGGACAGCAGCAUCAAAGUAAGUGCAAAGGUACUGUCCUUGGAAACCAGGGACCACAGUGACUAAAGUGUCCUUUCCUCCAGGGAGGCUCCUUGGAUUUCUCCUAGAAGCCUAUGUCUGUAUCUUUCCUAGCCUUCAACUGGAUGGUAAAGGAAGAACUUCUGAACUCUGCUGCUACACGGGUGGUUCCCAGGUGUGGGGACCCAGAAAUAAUUAGUCAUUUGUUAAAGGACAAAAGGUGGUCUAAGAUGUUUUUCCUACACCAUUUGCCAUUUUGGUAAGGACACAUUCAAAAGUGCAUGUGUGUGAUGCCUAGAGGUACUGACAAACCUCUUCUACCUUAAACAUUUCUUAAGAGAAUUAAAAAAUUCUAAAGUGAGAAAGACCCCCCCUUUUUUCCCAGAGGAAGAAAACUGGGAUCCAAAGGGGCAAAAAGAUGGGCCCAGGGUCUCAGAACUGGCUCCUGGCAGAACAAGGGCUCUGCACUGUCAAUGAAGAGAUCAAAGCCCUGGAAAGUGGAGGCUGCCUGUUUGCACCCCACUGUCUUUUAUCUUUCUGAUCUGCCUAAGGUCUACAAAGCUCCCAAAGUGGAGACUUGUCCCCAGAUAUCAAUUGCUGAACUGAAAACCUUAAAAAAAUAUAUAUUCCUAGGCCUGGGGCGGGACUGCAUUCCUGGGAAGGUGAAGGGAGGGGCCCUCACAGUGCCGCCUGAGGCAGGCGCAGGCGCAGGUUUUAUGAAGCCAGGCUCUCAAUUGUAAAAGCCGAGCGCCAUCUGCCAGCCAGUUCUGAACAGCUUUGCUUUGUUAACUUUUUUCUACUUCCCAGCCCUAAAUAGUGGGUGUUCUCCUUUCUUUCUUUUAAAAUAAAUGUGUAUUUUAUAAAUUCUGGCUCAGGAAUGGCCCCCCUACACAAAAGAUCCUACUUUAAAAAAAAAAAUCUGAAAAUAGAAAGAAAAAUAAAGUAGGGAAAUAAAAAGAGAGGGAGAGAGAAUGGGAAGAGGGCAGACAGGCAAAGUUCCUUAGGUUUUAUUUCCUUCCCUGGAUUCUGAGCUCUGUGAACUUCAGGUGCAAAUGAGAUGGGCUCCCUUCUCUACCUAAGGCAGCCAUGCUGGCCUUUACUUCUCUUCCCUGGAAAUCCCACUCCCCACUGGGAGCCUCCUUAACAUGUGAUCUCACCAGAGUCUGGGAUGAAGGUGUUUGCUUCCUAUUACCUUGAGUUUUGGGGUGAGCCUUGACUACAAGCAUUAGAUUUGUCUGCUGCAUAAGUAUGAGUUUCUGGUCUGUACCCCGCUUUCCCACCUUUGUGAUAUUUUAUAUACAUCAAGGUGGACAUGGGAAGUUUCUGGCCUUCCUCUGAAACAACUCAUCAAAUUUGGUCCCUCUUUGACCAUGGCAGAACUUCAGGUCAACUUGAAGCCUUGUUGUUAGCUUUUCUAACACUUGGCAAGUACAUGGAAUCCUAAAAUCAAGUGCCAGAGAAUCAACGAAGGUCCCAGGAACCGCCCCCCACCCCCUAUGCCUAAGCCAGUGCUCUCUCCAUCAUCCCAGGACCCUCUUCAAAAGUUGGAGCUUCUCUGCCCACCAUCCCUCCCCCCAAUUAUCAUACUCUCUUCUCCAUUGAGACAACAUGGGGAAUGUGACAACAUGGAGUCUCAUUGGAAAAUUUCCAAAUAUCCCCCUAGAAAGAGGGAUCCCUCUUAAGUGUUCGUCUUAAAUCCUCACUUGCAUAUCUGUUUGACAAAACAAAAUGGUUGUGUUUUCCUUCUAAUGGCUAAAAGGAAAGAAAAUGAAGUCACGUGACUGCUAAAGUAUAAAUAGCCCAGAGUUUUUUGGCUCCCCAACUUUAAAAAUUUCCCCCUAACGUCUGGCAUUGGAUUUUGGGUUCUGCCCUGAGUCUUCUAAGCAUUUCCUUGGAAAGAUGUUGUACUUGGUCCCAGGCAAAAUCUCAAAAUCAACAUUCUGAGGUUUUUCCCUGAGUCACUUCUAGGAUUAGGCAGUGAGAAGUUUUUCCUGGUUAGGGGCACUUCAGUUAGCAGAACCUGGAACACUCAGGCGUCUGCAGAAAGUUUCGAUUUCAGAUGAUACUUUCCCACCUUACACGGCCAGCAUCUAACUGCUCCAACCACCAAUCUGUUUUCACCGAUGACCCUUACCCAGCUAGCUAACUUUGAGGUAUGAAAAUCUUAGGUUCUUUAAGAGGGGAAAAAAGGAGGGAGAAGUCUUUGUUUUUAAAAAGUGUUAAGUUGGGAGUGCAAUCCAGAGACAACAUGGCAUGAAACCCUGGAUUCAAUCACCAGCUGCCAAAGAGAGAGAGGCAAGGUGCAUGUUGGUGAGUCGGGUCAAAUAAAGUGACAACUGACCCUCAUUCUAUUAGGUAGAUAUGGGUAUAGAUGCUACUUGUAGAUGGAGAGGUAUCAACAGUUUUAUCAAAGACCAAGUACAAUAUGUUUUACCAGGAAAUGUCUUUGGUCAGUUUCUUCUAUUGGCAUCAUUGUUUUCUUUCUAGAAGAUCUUUAAGAGAAUUUACCAGUGCACACCAGACAGAGGUAGUCAGGCUGACAUGAUGCCAAAGAACCCUAUGUGUGAUGGUUAAGGGUUAAAAGUCUAUGCAUGCCCUGGUACUGGCUGCCCAUGGGUUAUCAGAGUCCUAGACCAAUUCCUUGUUUGUUUGCCUGGAAUAAUUCCCUCUUCUCUUCUCUUCAGGGUCAUCUAGGGGUCAUUCUUGGGAGAUUUGUGGAAACUGCUUCUAUCCAACAAUGCAGGCCACCAGAAUUAGUUUGCACAUUGCUGACUGGUUAGUACAGGGGGAACUUUUCUUCAGAGGAUUUGUUUGUAGGUGUCCAAGUUAUGCCAUGUAUAUGUCUAGCUUUCCCAGGAUUAGGCAUGGAUGUCUAAGCAGCAGCUCUCAACCUUGAGUGACAUUUGGUAGUGACUGGAGAGUUCUAGGUUUUCAUACUUAUGUGUGGGGAGGUGGUGGUAGUAGUGUGUGUGAGUGUGUGUGUGAGUGUGUGUGUGUGUGUUGAUAAUAGUGGAAUAUCUGUGUGUGGAGGUGGUAAUGAGGUGUUCUGUUGAUAGCAAUGGAGUAUAGUGUGUGGAAUGUGUGUAGUAGUGGCUGUAGGUGGUGGUGGUGAUAGGGUGUGUGUGUGUGUGUGUGUGUGUGUGUGUGUUGGUAGUAGUGGGGCAUCUCUGUGUGUGGUGGUGGUAGUAAGGUAUUGUGCUGGUAGCAGUGAGGUGUGUGUGUGUGUGUGGAAUGUGUGUAGUGACUGGUGGUAGUGAUGGUGAUAGUGCAUGUGUGUGAUGUUAGAUAUCAGAGAUGCUCAGAAACAUCCUACAGUGCACAGAAUGGGGCCCCUGUCAUGGCAAAAUGUUAACUGAGUUGCUCAGAGGACCCCUCAGUUAACAAAUCCCCUUUAAAUGUUCCUGAAAUCUCAGUGCAUAGCUUAAAAGAGUAAGUCACUGCUUAAAAUACAAAAAAUGUGGGUCUGACUAAACUUUUGGGGUCCCUAUGGGCCUCAUCUUUGGGGUGGGGGCAGUAUGAAAGUAAAGCAGGGUCCUCCCCACCUUGCUGGCUCCCCUGUCCUUUCUCACUCGCAGUAUAGACCCACCACCUUCUUUUGCCUGUACUGUCUCACCAUCUAGUGGCCGCCGGAAAUAUCAACCCAUAUUUACUGUCUCUGGACUUUUCUAAAGCCAGCCACUGAAAAAUUCUUAUUUGAGGGGAUAGUGGGCAGGAGGCCCCUGCAUGACACCUGUGAUUUUAUUGAUAAGCUAUGUGAGAAUACACUGGGCCCAGUAGAGCCAUUCAAAGUGCAAAUGCAAGGAGUUAAGACGUACACUUCCCACACAUGCUAAAAACAAUAACAGCAACAACAAACAACAGCUUAAGGGACUGAUUGCAAAUCAGCUCUGCCUUUCCUAAGAAGUAACCCUAUGAGCUUUGGUCCUAGCCCUUUGGACACAUGGGCUAACCAUAUAUAAUUAUAGAUAUAAUUAUAGAUAUAAUUAUAGAUUGAAGACAGUGCUGUUUUGAAAGGAUGUGUUUGAAUGAUCCUCGGCACCUAUGUACCCCAGUAAUGCCAGCUACUCUCUUGACCCUUUAUCCUUUGAGGGGUAAGGGGAAGUCAUUUCUGUUUUGUUUGGUACCAAUAAGACUGGUAAGCGACUUUUACUGCCUUCGGAGCUAGGGUUCAGACCUGAGAGAUGAGUCUCAGGUGCCUAGGAGACUCCACAUGUCCACCAGGUAAGCUGCAGGACACUUGCUCCCAUUUACUUUGCCGCUCUGGGGUCCCAGACUCAUAUCAGUGCCUAGCUCUGGGUUUUGUGUGUCAUUGUGACCAUUACUGUUGACAUUUGUUUAAAGAAAAUCCAGUUUUGGACUUACCUGUGUGUGGGUUACCUGUAAGAAUGUCUUCAUAGUUGUUUACACAUUAGCGACCAGUUUGACGGGAGGGCAAACUGCUCACUUAGGGAACGGGAGAGAGGUAGUCAGAUCUUUAGACAGAAGGGACAGGCCAGAGUCAGCAAGUCAGGAGAGAGGCUCCAGCUGACUGUUCUGAUGCCAUCUUCGGAAGUCACACUCCCUCAGCAGUGGCAGUGAGCAAGCUCGACCGUGACACUCCUGAGAAGGUAGGUACAUGAGCUUUUUCCUUUGCGUGCGUAUCGACUCUUUAGAUGAAUUCUCAAGCACUUAAUCUGUCCCCCACACAAAAUGUGUGUGACGGUGUCAAAAACGCUGACUGACAUCAAAAUUUAAAUUAUAUAACAAUUUAUAUUCUUUUGAUACCUCUCUCCUCGUCCCAAAUUGAAUUAUUAAAAUUUAGUAAGGUGCAAUGUUUGGGUUUGGUGGGCAGGACUCUUCAAGUCAAAAUACUCCUGAGUUCUCCUGAGUUUUAAUGGAUCACUCUGCAAUGCAUUCUGGGAUUUUACCUCUAAGUACAACAGAAGCACACUUCCUCAGUGUUCGUUGCUCUGUCACAAAUCACUUGCCUGAUGCUCCUCCUUGGUUACAGCUUCCACUGUGGCACAUGCAAAACACUUCCAAUAAUUCUAACUUGUCAGAGACCAAAGCAUUCAAGCCUGCGAUAGUUGACAAUAAUUGAAAAGUUAACAUGGGAGGGGGGUGUCCUUACCUCUUUCUUGGGGAGUCUUGUCCUCUUCCUGUCCCACCAGCUGGUCUGCUUCAGCAGUGAUCUGGUUAUUGGGAGGGAAACUAAAGACACUUUUUUUGCAUGUAAAAUAACCACAUUCUGACCCCUGUGCUAAGUAACAGUACUGAAUUAAUUUAUACACAGGUCGCUAAUGACAGGAGGGUGGGGUGGAAGGGUGAGCAGGAAUGAGAGAUGGUACUUGUUCAGGAUAGGGGGAAAAAGUGACCCUCUCGGGCCUUUGUCUUCCUCUUCUGCCACAUUACCAUAUAAUCCUAAAUUUGGCAAGGUAUCAUGUGUCUAUUGCGUGAGUUGACUUGUGUUUGCAAAUCCUGUACAAAGAGGGAACUAUGAAAUGUAGAAGCUGGAAGCACAGGGUGCCUAGGCUUGAGUUAAUCUCUCAUUGAGAACAUACAAAAAAUAAAACCUCACUUGGAAUAAAGGGGGAAAAGAAGUUGUAAACUCAACAUUUAGGAGCUCUGGCACUGGAAACACACUGGACUUGCAGCCAAUAAGAAGCUUCCUUCAGGAUCUGGCUCUUCUUUUGGAGAAUUAAGAAAAAGUCCUCUUCUUUGGAAACUAACUAACACCCACCCACCCCCUCCCCAGCCAGCUUUGUAGACUACCCACUAGUAUUCUUAAGCUGCAUAAAGACCUCAAAGAGUCUUCAUCUGAAAUUACAAAAGAAAGACCAGACCCAUUUUCUUCUCAUUCCUUCUAGAGAGCUUGAUCCUAGGUCAGGGGUCCAGAGGUCAGCCUAGGGAUGUGGUGCCAACAAAGGCCGCAUUCCAUCCAGUGCACUAAAGAACUUGCCAAGGUGGGUGUCAGGACCAGAUCCCAUGUGUUGCUGGGAGGCCCAUAGACAAUGGAGUCCAUUGCUCACUGCUCUUAAGUCUCCUUCCUUUGGCCCUUCUGUGAAGUUUUAUUUCAAAAAAGCAAAAACAAAACCAAAAAACAAAACAAAACCCAAAACAAAACAAAAAACAUACUAACUUUAAUUUUAUUAAAACCCUGAGAGGGGGAAAAUGCAUUUAACCUGUGUCAUAGGUUAAAAAAAAAGUUCAGAAACUAAUUUUCAUUUGCUACUUGUGUGUCUCCUGAAAGGCAAAGAGACAUUUGAAAAGCUAUAGUUUUGCUAGGAAGGGGGUGAGCACAUUUUAUUUCAAGGGGGAAUUGAUUUUAAAAAACAAGGGGGUGUGCCUAGCCCUGGGGCUUUCAAUUUUAAUCAAUUAGGCUAUCUUCUUUAAAAAAAAAUUUUUGUUUAAUACAACUUUCCUGAAUUAACAUAAAACAAAACAAAUGCUUUUCAAAAUCAUGCAUAGAUUCUUGAUAAAUGGAAAAAUGGGACUCAGCUAUGAACUAAAAAUAAGGAUUACUUUUAAAAAACCAGGAAGAGAAAGGUAUUUGGGACCCUGUAAUCCUUUUGCCAGAAUUCUGUAUAAUGUAGCAUUGCCCUUUCAGAAAUGUAUAUAUGAAAGCAAGGGCAUCACAUUGUUAUUAUUAAUUAAUAACAAUAUUAUUAAUAUUAAAUAAUGAUUAAUAAGUAUAUCGUUAUUAAUUAAUGAUAAUUGCUGUUGUUGUUACUAAUGUUGAUGUUGUUAUAAGCUUGAACCCUGCUAAAGAAAACUAUUGGGAGAUUUUUCUCAGAAAAGAUAUAUAAAGGAAAACCUACAUUAUUAACAAAAAAGAAAGGGGAAAAAAAGCAUUCUAGUUUUUUUUUUGGGGGGGGGUAAGAUGAAGCAAAUGUGAGUAUUAACCCUCCACAGCAAUGGCUCCCUUAAAUGGAGAGCAUCCAUUUCAUGCUCACUCGGUAGGCAGUUACAGUCAGUGAUCUGCCAGGGCCUGGCUAGAAUUCAGAAAGCAGCAGGCCGUUAGACACCUGUCAUUAAACAAGGGAUUUGAAGAUCACAUGGAGUGCUCACAAUAGUCAUGCCCUCAGUUUUGAGGAAACCAUGUAGAAGCUUUUGAUGGGCUUGGUAAGAGGUAGCACCUCAGAACUAGAGGCCUGAGUCCUUCACAUACUCACCUUGCAACCUUUGGUAGGAAAAAAAA